GGGGGCGGAUUUAGGGAGGUGGUCCCGGGCUGGGCUCAGGCUGAAGGGCAGGUGGGGGGUGGCCAGGGGGUGUAUGUGUGUAGCUGGUGGUGGUCCUGUUUCCUGAAAGCUGGUGCUGUGGCACCUGGAUGUCUGGGGCUGAUGUGUGGUGGAUUACAAAUGCAGACGUCGUGGCUGCGGGCUGAGAAGGGCCUGGGGCUUGCGUUGCUCUUCCUUUUGCAGGCAGGAGCCCGUCAGCCCGCGCCAGUCUGCUGCACCAUCCUUCAUCCUGGUCUAGCACCACAGGUUCUCUGCCAAGCACCGAAAAGAGCAGCCUUGUCCUCCACCUCCACUGAUGGCCACCUGAAGGACCUCUUCAGAGCCAUUUCUGCUGCCCACCUGCCAACCAUGGGGCUUCUGCGGGCUCCUUUGCUUUGCUCUGCUCCCUCCCCUCCAGGCCUUGGCACCAGGGCGAGACGUGUCCUCAGUUGUGCAAGGAAGUACCUGAGGACCAUAACUCCACAUGGAGACUGUGAGCCUUCCUCCUCCGUGCAUCCUCACAAUAAUGCAGUGACCCUAUGGAUUUCACUCGCAGGAAGAGCAUCUCCUUUCUCUAGGGUACUGCUGGACUCAGCACCAUAAUUGUAACAGAAGACUGCUUUUGCCUCAUUAACAGGCACAAUUUUAUUUCUAAAUAUGAAAAGAUUAGGUAAAAUCCUAAACAGUAAGACUGGAAGGUCACUCCUGAGGUGUAGGUCUGUAAUGCUGCCCAAGCCUGGGGGCUGGUAGCUUCUGGGCAAUGGGAGAACCAGUAAACCCAAUAGCCACACAGAUCUGUGGCUCUUUGUGCUAGAUCAGGGGCAGCGUUGAACUUAGCAGUGAAGAGGAAAGCACAGAUGUUCAUGGGAGGAAAAUAAUUUUAUUCUGAGAACUCUAUCAAUGAACACCAAAUGUCCAACAGAUUUUGUAAACCCCUUGAGCAUGCUUUGUGAUGGCCAAAUGGUUUGAAAUCCUGGUCACCGAAGUUCUCCACGGAAAACACGCAAGCUGCAGGAAGGCUCGCUCUGCGGGAUUAAAUGGCGCCGCAUGGAGAGACCACCCAGGCAAACACGCCGAAAUCAUUUAGGCCAGGUCUACAUUACCGACUUUUUCCAGUAGAGCCGUGUUGGGCAUAGGGAUGGUGGCCUGUGAUCUCUCACCAGCAGAGCUGUGCUAGCAGAAGCAUGCUUUUUUGAAAAUAUGUACGAAGAAAAUUACUUUUAUUUUCAUUGGAAUCCUAUAAGUGUCUUUGACAAUCGUUGCCAUAAUAUUGUUUAUAUAAGCAGAGGUACCCAUAUACGAAGUAUGGAAAUAUUGCCACAUUAUAAACAUAAGAGCUGGGUUAAACCUGAGAUCCUCCUGAGUAUCUAUGGGAUGUUGCCAUUCUACUGACAUAUGGUAAUGUUUUCUCCCAAUAAUCUCCUGCAGAAGUAGUUCUGGGCCAACUAGUCAUACAUUUAAAUUCCAUAAAAUAUAUAGCAGAGUUUAUAAAGUUAUUAGAACAAAAAUGUUUUUGGAGAUCUCAUUUCAUUGUACAAUAUGCGGCUUCAGCAAAAGAAAUCUGUAAACAGAUAUUUUAGCUUCAUACAGAACUCUUUUUAAUAUUUACUCUGACAAUCCUAAUGGUGGAUUUCAGCCAAAAUGUUUGUGCAGCUUCAUGCCUUAAGGUUUCUACUUCAGAUUUACAGUUGAAUGUUUUCCUGUGUGAUGGAUGAUUAUUUAAAACUGCUGCUCUCUCCAGUCCUCAAAAUGCCAAAAAGACAGUUUUUGUUGCAAGCUAUAAUUUAAACGUAGAGCCAGAUUCUGCAUUCACUUCAUGUCAGUGUUUGUACAUGGGAUGAAAUCCUGGAGGCCACCCCAUGCAGAAGUAACAGAAGAACAGGAUCAGGUCCUUCAGGGUUCAGUUAAACAGUAACAAAUAAUAUUAAUGUACAUCUACUAAAUAAUUAUGUUUGCUAAAGUAAUCAAACUGAGGCACUACCAGAAUCUUUAUGGCGAUUUUAAAUCUUCUCUAUUAAUAUAGCUUUCUGCAAAAGCUGUCCGUGUGUCCAGCACUGGGCUCGAGGAUGGGUAGGAGUCAGCUGACAAGAGCUUCAUAGGGCUCCGAGUACAUAUCAGCGCGUCCAAAGGAUGCUUCAGGAGAGAGGGACGAGCAGUUGGCUAGUACCUGGCCUGUCCCUGCAGAGCUGGGCAGUGCAGCUACCUGAGCCGUGUCAAGUGGCGAGCCUCAGGUCCGAGCAGAGUCCAGCAGAGUACUUCUGCACACACCGCUCACAACCCUUUCCAUGAGCAAAGCCCAUAAUACUCUCCUGUGGUGUCAGCAGUGACAGCUACUGCCCGUCCUCUGAUGGCAGUGUUAAACGGCUUCAUACUCCAUCUGCACAAGGCAAGCUGAGACAAAAUGAUGUGAGAAGUGUGAAAAGAAUUAGAUUUUUAAAGUUAAUUUAAAUACAGUAACCUCUUAAAGGCCUGAGGAAAUGCUAUUGAGCAACGGGGAGCAGUUAGGGUAAUAAUGUAACAGAGGCAUGGUUAUGGAAAUUGCCAUGUUCAUUAAACAUUUAUUCCAAAUAUAACCCUUCACUCUUCCCAUCUGCAGAAAAUGUAAAACAAUUCUAAGUGGCUGGUGCACCUGAAUUGCUCGAAUUACCUCAGUGAUUGAUCGUGAGUUUAUACUAAGCUUAGAAUUUCACAAUGAUCCCUUUCUGUUUGCUUGUUUGUAUUUAAUCUAGGUCUAAAGAGAGAAUGUAAUCAAAUAAUGAGAUUAAUACAAAUUCUGGUGUAUUUGUACUGAAUAAAUGAUUGCCAGUG